rnacentral:misc_RNA from 1 species
GAUGAAGAACGUAGCGAAAUGCGAUAAGUAAUGUGAAUUGCAGAAUUCAGUGAAUCAUCGAAUCUUUGAACGCACAUUGCGCCCCCUGGUAUUCCGGGGGGCAUGCCUGUCCGAGCGUCAUUACAACCCUCAAGCUCAGCUUGGUAUUGGGCCCCGCCGACCCGGCGGGCCCUAAAGUCAGUGGUGGUGCCGUCCGGCUCCGAGCGUAGUAAUUCUUCUCGCUCUGGAGGUCCGGUCGUGUGCUCGCCAGCAACCCCCAAUUUUUUUCAGGUUGACCUCGGAUCAGGUAGGGAUACCCGCUGAACUUAAGCAUAUCAAUAAGCGGAGGA